rnacentral:lncRNA from 1 species
GUCAGAAGGCAGAAAUAUGUGAACUGUUGAGAGAGGGCCUGCCUCGAAGAUGACACAAAUAGGGAUUGAAGUACCAGAAAAAAAACCCCUUCAAACAAAACAAAACCCUGAACAGGAAUAGAGACAGGCGGAUAGAUAUAUAACUGCAUCUGAACAAUGUUACGUACGAGAUUAAAGGAUGAAGAAAGUUCAGAGCAGGAGGAGUCACCCAAACCAACCGGUGUGCAUCUGCACUUCUUUGAAAGGCAAACAUAAAUGGAGCAAGGAGGAAAAAAAAGAAUCCAAACAGCAUUUUUGAGAAUAUGGAAGAUGCUCACUUCUAAGACAACGGCAAGGAUUGGGCCAAAAUCCAGAUCCAGCCUACAUUUCUUCAUCUGAGUAGUCCUGUCUCGACCUAUGACUGCUGACAAGAUCACAACAAUGUGGACCCUUCUCUCCUUACUCCCCAGCAUCAGAUCACCAAG